rnacentral:rRNA from 1 species
UACGUAGGGUGCGAGCGUUAAUCGGAAUUACUGGGCGUAAAGCGUGCGCAGGCGGUUAUGUAAGACAGGUGUGAAAUCCCCGGGCUUAACCUGGGAACUGCAUUUGUGACUGCAUAGCUAGAGUACGGUAGAGGGGGAUGGAAUUCCGCGUGUAGCAGUGAAAUGCGUAGAUAUGCGGAGGAACACCGAUGGCGAAGGCAAUCCCCCUGGACCUGUACUGACGCUCAUGCACGAAAGCGUGGGGGAGCAAACAGG